rnacentral:lncRNA from 1 species
CUAUAUAGUCCAUCAAAUGAAUGCAAAAGUUUAUGUUAGUAGUAUCAUAUACUCUUGCUUUAAAAACCGUUUUAUAAGCAUAGUGGGAGUAUUAUAUACAACUAAUAACAAAUCAAAUGGACCAAUAGUUGUAAUAGGACCAAAAUUGUUUUAAUGAAGAUUAAAAUGAAUAUUUAUAUGUGAUGAGAGCUAAAACCCUCAACCAAACCAUUAUUAAGUUGAUAAGCGUGAGAGUGCUUUGAACACUCUUUCGUGGCCUUCCACCGUGGUAGCUCCGAUCGUUUGUGACUCGUACACCGGCUUCACCCUAUCAUGGGGGAGUACAAAGUGCGUGCUUACACUCAGGAGGAGUCUAUAUACAUACUUGAUGAGGUGAGUGUAGGCAACGAGGAUGGCGAACAUCAUAUCAUUGUGAGGCUAUUCUUGAACCCCUUCAUGAACUAAGCAUGGUGGGAAUGACUUAACUAAGUGCAAUGGAGCCAAUAUCAUAUCAUUGUGAGGUGACAUUCUCUAGAGGCCAAAUUAGAUGGGUACUUGCAAGAGAUGCAAAUGAGUAAGUGUACUCUCUCAUUAUUAUUAAUGCUAGCCAAUUGAUAGGAGCAUAUUUAUGCGACUUAGUAUGUUUGUUUUCGUGCAUUUAUGUUCAUAGUUCUUAGUUAUGUUAGUAGUUUAAGCCAUUUUUGUGUGUUUGUAGGUUCUAUGGGCCAAGGAUGCAAGAAGAUGCAUUUUGGAGCAUUUUGGAGCAUUUUUGGGCCAAGAUUGGAUGGUGCAAACAUGGAGACAUGAGGAUGGACGAAUUUGAAGUCAAAUGAGGCUAGGAACAUGCUAAAAAUGUGGUGAAACAAAUACAAAGUGCAAAAAGGGAUAGGUUUCUAGAAGGAUUGGCCAAAACUUCACUUAAAAACCUCAAUGUCGUGGCUUUUACUUCAAAGCAACCAGAAAUUUGAGUGGAUGAUGCAAUGCUUAACUCACCAUGACAUGUGAGUGGAUGAUGCAAUGCUUAACUCACCAUGACAUGUGAAUGGAUGAUGCAAUGCUUAGCUCACCAUGACAUGUGAGUGGAUGACUCAAAACCUACCCCAACAACAAUUCUCCACCAUUGCCGUGAGUUUACCUACCCAUUCCACCAGAAAUUUGUGCUUAAACAAGUCCAUCCUCUCCCUAUAAAUACCAUGCAGCAACCUCAUUCAAUUCAUCCAGAAAUUAACCAUUCUCCAAGCCUUUCCUUGCCUCUCCUACAUAUCUAAACCCCUUCCCAUCCAU